GAUGAACGCUGGCGGCGUGCCUAAUACAUGCAAGUCGAGCGAACGGACGAGAAGCUUGCUCCUCUGAUGUUAUCGGCGGACGGGUGAGUAACACGUGGACAACCUACCUCUAAGACUGGGAUAACUUCGGGAAACCGGAGCUAAUACCGGAUAAUAUUUUGAACCGCAUUGUUCAAAAGUGAAAGACGGUCUUUCUUUCACUUAUAGAUUGAUCCGCGCUGCAUUAGCUAGUUGGUAAGGUAACUGCUUACCAAGGCAACGAUGCAUAGCCGACCUGAGAGGGUGAUCGGACAGACUGGAACUGAGACACGGUACAGACUCCUACAGGAGGCAGCAGUAGAGAAUCUUACGCGAUGGGCGAAAGGCGGACGGAGCAACGCCGCGUGAAUGAUGAAGGACUUAGGAUGGUAGAACUAUGAUAGUAGGGAAGAAGAAAAGUGUAAGUAACUGUGAACAUCUUGACGGUACCUAAACAGAAAGCCACGGCUAACUACGUG
rnacentral:rRNA from 1 species